CUCAUUCAUUCUUUGACCGCUAGAGGUAAUUACUUCACACGCAUGCUAAAAGAAAAUACAGCAAUUCCUUCACACCUCACCUUUGGUUACAGGAAGCUUGCGCUCUCUCAUUAUCACUGGUCGUUGCGCCAAGGGCACUUCAGAGUUUUAGGUUGCAUCAUGGUCUCAUAUGGCAGGUCCCACAAAAAAAGACGUACUAAGGUUAGUAGCUGCUACAACUGAAGCUAUUAUUCAUGCAACUGCAUGGUUUCUAUUGUUUGCCUUGUAAUGAAACAAUAAUGCCCAAGGUCAUUCGAAUUAUCUGGGCUAAUAGUGUCUAUUGUAGAAACUUGUUUGCUUGUAGCUAUAAUUGAUUCCUAUUGUUUGUCUGAUCACGGAACUACAAUCUUGACAAGACCAUUGUUGGCAUUAGCUAUUGUGGAAGCUUUUGUUCUUGUAGCAAUAAAAAAUAUCAUAAUUGAUUAGCUAUUGUGGAACCUUUUGUGCAUAUAGCUUCAACUGCUUCCUUACCUUAUCUCAGUCCCCUUGGAAUUAAGAAAAAUCCUGAGGUUUUGAAAAAAGGUUCCCAUAUUGAGGACCUAAUACACUAGCAGGGACUGAUUCUUGGUGUUUGUUCAUGAACUAGCAAGAAGCCAAAUUUUGAGAUAGGCUAACAUGGCUGGCAUUCAGCCAUCAUGGUACCUGUUGCACAUGUACUACCUUGCCAUGAAUAGCAAAAGAGUGCAAAGAGAUGGGCUCGUUGGUUGCAUCCCUGCAAGACUGUAAAGUUCAGCUGGGCAAACAGACAAAAUCUUGAAGACAACCUGGGACUACCUUUACUUUGAGGAACUAUUUCAGGAUUUGGUAUUAUCCGGAGAGUUUGAGGCACUGUUAAAAACUUCAUUUUUGCGGUCCAUUAUGUUACCCGGUACUUAUAGUAAUACUGCAUACAAAUAACUUUAUAAUGUACAUUCCGUUUAACAAUUUAACUAUGGGACAGCAAUGCCAUAUACAAUUAUCAUGUUAUGCAUUCUAUCACACGCAAGCCAUUUACUCCAUUAGACGAAACCGUAGAUGGGUAACUAAAAAGUGGAUUGGGCAGGCCAUACUCAGGCGGAACAGCGAGGCAUCACCAUCGGCCACGGGCAGGGAGAGAAGGGGGCAGGUCAACAGCGGAGUUUGAGGAGGGCGUUGAUUAGGAGGCGGAGAGGAAGGAGGAGGGCUGGGGCACGCCGAGCAGGCCCUGAGGAGAACAUGAUUAUCGUUGAACUGAAACCAGGACAACAAUUAUGGAACGGAGGGAGUAGUAUUUUGUUUUGACAUGAUAUUGUAAUAAACUUGUUGCUUUGUGCAUCAUAGAAUGCAGAUUGCAGAUUCUUUU
rnacentral:lncRNA from 1 species